rfam:Ricinus communis cultivar Hale ctg_1100012357157, whole genome shotgun sequence.
AGUCUAUGGUGCAGGCAACAUCAGAGCAAGUCUUUGUACCUCUCCCAAGCAUCGUACAUCCUCUCGUCAUCGAACUGCACAAAAGAAGAUAUAUCAUUUCUCAAUCU